rnacentral:rRNA from 1 species
UGGGGAAUAUUGCACAAUGGGCGCAAGCCUGAUGCAGCCAUGCCGCGUGUAUGAAGAAGGCCUUCGGGUUGUAAAGUACUUUCAGCGGGGAGGAAGGUGUUGUGGUUAAUAACCACAGCAAUUGACGUUACCCGCAGAAGAAGCACCGGCUAACUCCGUGCCAGCAGCCGCGGUAAUACGGAGGGUGCAAGCGUUAAUCGGAACUACUGGGCGUAAAGCGCACGCAGGCGGUCUGUCAAGUCGGAUGUGAAAUCCCCGGGCUCAACCUGGGAACUGCAUCCGAAACUGGCAGGCUUGAGUCUUGUAGAGGGGGGUAGAAUUCCAGGUGUAGCGGUGAAAUGCGUAGAGAUCUGGAGGAAUACCGGUGGCGAAGGCGGCCCCCUGGACAAAGACUGACGCUCAGGUGCGAAAGCGUGGGGAGCAAACA